rnacentral:tRNA from 1 species
GAGGGUAUAGCUCAGUGGUAAAGUGCAUGCUUAGCAUGCAUGAGGUCCUGGGUUCAAUCCCCAGUGCCCCCA